CUCCGAUACCCCAAACAAUGUUAGUUAUACCUUGCCAGGUACCACGUUCACGCAAUGAAACGAUGUCACUCGAAAUGAUGGAAGACAUGGUACCAAGACCUCCACCGCCAAUGCCGGCGAGAGCGCGAGCCAUACACAAUUCCGGAAGACUUCUCGAUAUACCACACCAAAAAGUUCCAAGCGUGAAAGCAGCAUUUGCAAAUACAACGGUAGGGCGUCGUCCAAAGAUGUCACUAAGUCUACCAUAUAAAGGUUGGAAAGCGGUGUUUGUAAUUAAAUAGGCGGUAACAAUGUAGGAAGCAUUAUUCAUUAACUUGAAUUCACUACCAAUUACAGGGUAUAAACUUGCAACAAUUGUCAUAUCCAAAGCAGACAAGAAGCCACCAACCCAUAAAGCAGGUAGAAUAGUCCAUUUAUUUACACUCAACUCUUCCUUUUUGCGAGACACUUCAGGAUAUAGCAAGGAAGUUUGCUCUGUCGCCAAAUUUACCUGAUCGACCAUCUUUGGAGUUUCUCACCGAUAUGCGUAGUGUGAUAAAGACACUUGAAUGCAACUUGAAAAAAUUUUAAAAUAAAAAACUUCCUUUAAGUAAAUAACUAUUAAUUGAUUAUAAAAUAUAUAAGGAAAUUGUUCCCUGAUACAAACAGUAAUUAAAGAAGGCAGCGGUUGACUGUUAAAAAAGGAAAUCAAGAAUCGAAG